rnacentral:rRNA from 1 species
UACGUAGGGUGCAAGCGUUGUCCGGAUUUAUUGGGCGUAAAGAGCUCGUAGGCGGUUCGUCGCGUCUGCUGUGAAAUCCCGAGGCUCAACCUCGGGUCUGCAGUCGAUACGGGCGGACUGGAGUGCUGCAGGGGAGACUGGAAUUCCUGGUGUAGCGGUGAAAUGCGCAGAUAUCAGGAGGAACACCGAUGGCGAAGGCAGGUCUCUGGGCCACUACUGACGCUGAGAAGCGAAAGCAUGGGGAGCGAACAGG